CCAAUAGCGUAUAUUAAAGUUGUUGCAGUUAAAAAGCUCGUAGUUGAAUUUCGGGAUUGACACAUCGGUCGUGCCUUAAGGGGUAUGAACUGGUUGUAGUCAAUUUCUCACCUUCUGGAGAACCGCAAUGCCCUUAAUUGGGUGUCGCGGGGAACCAGGACCUUUACUUUGAAAAAAUUAGAGUGUUUAAAGCAGGCAUUUUGCUUGAAUCCAUUAGCAUGGAAUAAUAAAAUAGGACGGCAUGAUUCUAUUUUGUUGUUUUCUAGGAUCACCGUAAUGAUUAAUAGGGAUAGUUGGGGGCAUUAGUAUUCAAUUGUCAGAGGUGAAAUUCUUGGAUUUAUUGAAGACUAACUACUGCGAAAGCAUUUGCCAAGGAUGGUUUCAUUAAUCAAGAACGAAAGUUAGGGGAUCGAAGACGAUCAGAUACCGUCGUAGUCUUAACCAUAAACUAUGCCGACUAGGAAUCAGACGAUGUUAAUUUUUUAAUGACUCGUUUGGCACCUUACG
rnacentral:rRNA from 1 species